rnacentral:rRNA from 1 species
UGGGGAAUAUUGGACAAUGGGCGAAAGCCUGAUCCAGCCAUGCCGCGUGUGUGAAGAAGGUCUUCGGAUUGUAAAGCACUUUAAGUUGGGAGGAAGGGCAUUAACCUAAUACGUUAGUGUUUUGACGUUACCGACAGAAUAAGCACCGGCUAACUCUGUGCCAGCAGCCGCGGUAAUACAGAGGGUGCAAGCGUUAAUCGGAAUUACUGGGCGUAAAGCGCGCGUAGGUGGUUUGUUAAGUUGGAUGUGAAAUCCCCGGGCUCAACCUGGGAACUGCAUUCAAGACUGACUGACUAGAGUAUGGUAGAGGGUGGUGGAAUUUCCUGUGUAGCGGUGAAAUGCGUAGAUAUAGGAAGGAACACCAGUGGCGAAGGCGACCACCUGGACUAAUACUGACACUGAGGUGCGAAAGCGUGGGGAGCAAACA